rnacentral:lncRNA from 1 species
GGAUAAUUAUUUAUUUUUAAUUAUAGGGUGUUCUAAUUUGGGUUAAAAAUAAUUGUUAACACAUAAAAUACAUAGAGAAAAAUCACAUAUCCUAAGCAAGUUCACUCAUGUUCACAAACAGAACACGCUGUAUACCUGGAACCCAGAUCAAGAAACAGACCAUGACUCCCUGCAGAAGCUCCCAUCCCAGCCCCCUCCAAUGACUGCUGCCCAGACUGACCAGAAGCCUUAUUUUUUUUUUUUUUAGGGCCCCACCCGCAGCAUAUGUAGGUUCCCAGGCUGGGGGUCGAAUCAGAGCCGUAGCCUCCAGCCUACACCACAGCCACAGCAACUCAGGAUCGGAGCCCUGUCUGCCACCCACACCACAGCUCAUGGCAACGCCAGCUCCUUAAUCCACCGAGUGAGGCCAGGGAUCGAACCUGCGUCCUCAUACAUACUAAUCAGAGUCGUUUCCACUGAGCCACGAUGAGAACUCCAGUAGCCUUAUUUCUAACAUCAUCAGUUCGUUUUUCUUCUUCUUGUACUGGAUUGCUUUGGAACUUAAAAAUCUUAGAGACUUAGAUGAAUACAAAUAUUUAUUAGUAUUGUAUUAGUCCAAAUUUUCAAAACUCAUUUAAGAAUGCCAGAGAGGACACCAUAAUUUAUAAUAAGAUACAAUCCAAUAACAACAUUUCGAAUUACCAUACUUUAUAAAAUUUUACCAGAUUUCAGUAUUAAAAACUACAGUCAAGUUGCCAUUUUUCUCUAUGCCUCUCGACUAUCCCACAAAAGCACAAGGAGAAUGAGAAGCAGAACCGCAAACGACACUAUCGAUGAAAGUAGGAGACAUCUGAAACUCCUCAAAUCAAGGACUACCCAAAGGAGUGAGGAACCCCCAAAAGGGAUACAGGCCAAUGAGAAGAGGAUGCUCAAGGCCGCAGAUCCUAGGAAAGGCCAGCAGAGGGCGCCUCUCCAAGGGGAAGGUCUCACCCUGAAGGCAAAACAAUAGUCUCUUGUUUGCAGGAAGACUAAGACGUGUGGACAGCGCCUGGUCCUCACAGGGACAGACACGUGUUCUGGGUAUGGAUUUGCCUUCCUUGCCAGCAGGGCUUCUGCUAGCACUACCACGUCUGGACUUAGACAUGGCCAGAAUGUUCCAAGGAGAGGAGGUAGGGAUGGCUUCUCUCACUAUGACCCCUAAUAAUUCACUGGAAGAAUUUUUUUGCUUUCCUUGCCAGUGAUCUGAGGCUCAGUGGGUCCAGACGUCCUAGUGCCCAGCGGAGGGAUGUUUAUGGCAGAAAACACUAUCAUGGCUCCAUUCAAUUGGAGCCGAAGCUGCUUCCCUGAUGCCUGGGACCCUUCAUGCUGCUGAAUCAAAAGGCAGAAAAGGGGGUCACUAAUAGGAGCUGAAUGUUUAUGUUACCCCACAAUCGAGUGUAAUGGUGUUAGGAGUUGAGGUUUUUGGAUGAGGUCACAGGAGUCGAGCCGCAUGAUGGAAUUUAGUGUCCUUAGAAGAAGGAGAAGAAUCAGAGCCCUUCCUUUCUCUGUCUCUGUUGUGCUCUCUCUGCCAUGUAAGGGUGCAGUAAGAGGGCAGCCUUCUCUGAGCCAGGAAGAGGACUCUCACUGGAACCCAACCAGACUGACACCCUGAUCUCGGUCUGUGGGAUCUGUGAGAAAUGACCACAACUGUGAGAAAUGACCUGCUGUUUAAGCUGCUCAGUCUAUGGUGGUGUGUUUUAGCAGCCCCAGCCACGGCAGUCACCAAACUCAGCCUUCACGAAGUGUGAUUGCCAAGGGAAUCUGCUCUGCUGCUUAGUGGAGGAAAAAGGAAAUGUCUGGAAUCCAAGGAUUCACUGGGGACACAUCCCUUGUCCUGAAGAUUUGGUGAGUGGGAACGGACAGCAAUCCAAUAAAGACAGGACCAUCAAGAACUCAAGUCCUACAGGAAUAAAGUUUUGAGUCUCCUUACCAAGCCUAGAGCUCUGCCCAGCUGAGGGUAGAAGGAACACGAAUGUGAUGCAAGAAUACAGCUGUGAUGAUCAACUCAGACCUCAUGGCCAUUUGUAGAGGAGGUUUCUAACAGCUGUGGGUUCUCUCUCUCUCUCUCUUUGGCUGCACCUGCAACAUGUGAAAGUUCCCAGGGCAGGGAUCAAACCUGCACUGCAGCAGCAGCCCAAGGACCAAGGUGACACCUCCAGAUCCUUAACCUGCUGCACCACAGGAGAACUCCACGGCUAUUUUACGUUAACUGAUCUUUUCCCUUCUCUUUAAUUGCUACCUUGCAUAAAGAGCACUGGUCAUAGCUAAUGGUUUUGGUAUCCACUGACUACUAGCUGCAUAACCUUGGGUAAGCUACUUCACCUUUCUCUUAUCCCUAAGUUGGGAUACUAAAAGUAUAAGCUCAUGUUUACAUAAGGAUCUAGAACUUGGAACAGUGCUUCAUAGGUGCCAGCUAUUACUAUAAUUUAUGAUUUUUGUUUUGGUCUUUUUGUCUUUUUAGGGCCGCACCCGCGGCAUAUGGAGGUUCCCAGCCUAGGGGUCUGAUUGGAAUUACAGCUGCCCGCCUAGACCACAGCCACAGCAAUGCCAGAUCUGAGACUCGUCUGCAACCUACACCGCAGCUCACAGCAAUGCCGGAUCCUUAACCCACUGAGGGAGGCCAAGGAUCGAACCCUCAACCUCAUGGUUCCUAGUCAGAUUUGUUUCCAUUGCACCAUGAACGGGAACUCCUAAUUUAUGAUUAUUAACAAUAGAUAUUCUUUUACAUUUCAUUGUAAUAUGAGACAAGGCAGUUCCCAAAUUAAAAAAGGAAAAAUUUCCCAAUUUUAUUACCAUUCAUUUCUUUUUUUAUAGAAAUGUAUUUUAUUUUUUAAUUACUCAAUUUUAUUACAUUUGUAGUUGUACACCACCAUUCAUUUCUAAGAUCAUGUAUUGAACUACAAGUACACAUUUAUUUGGAAUUAGAAUUUUUUUGGCUGCACCUGUGGCAUGUGGAAGCUCCUCGGCCAGGGAUCGAAUCUGUGGCUCAGCAACCUGAGCCACUGCAGUUACAAUAUCAUAUCCUUAACCUGCUGGGCCACCCGGGGAACUCCUAAUGCAAUUGUAAUUGAAUGCAAAUCCUGUUGGAUUUUUUUUUUUAAUUUAGCAGAACAAUCCUAAAAUUCAUGUGGGAAAAAACUAUAAUAGGUAAAACAAUUUUUGAAAAGAGAGAUAUAUGAUAAGAUCAUUGUGAUUAUAACAAUGUCCCAAUGUGGACAUAGAGGCAUGGAAGAAAUAGAUGAAGUAACAGAAGAAAAUAUAUAUCAGACACAACUUAGAAUAGAUCUACAAGGAGAUCCUGUUUCGUAGCAUGCCUCCUUUGUCUAGAUACUCAUGUUGCAACAGAACAAAGGAUGGGGAAAAAAAAUGUAGUUGUAAUGUAUACAUGUAAGGAUAACUUGAUCCCCUUGCUGUACAGUGGGAAAAAAAAGAAAAAAGAAAAGAAAAUAUAGACAUAGACCUACAUUUUUAUUUAUUUAUUUAUUUACUUAUUUAUUUUUUGUCUUUUUGCUAUUUCUUGGGCCGCUCCGGCGGCAUAUGGAGGUUCCCAGGCUAGGGGUCUAAUCAGAGCUGUAGCCUCCAGCCUACGUCAGAGCCACAGCAACGUGGGAUCCGAGCCACGUCUGCAACCUACACCACAGCUCACGGCAACACCAGAUCCUUAACCCACUGAGCAAGGGCAGGGAUUGAACCCACAACCCCAUGGUUCCUAGUCGGAUUUGUUAACCACUGCGCCACGACGGGGACGCCCUAGACCUACAUUUUUAGAUGUUCAUACUCUCCAUGUUAAAGGUGACAUCUCAAAUUUGGGAAAGGAUAGAUUUACUUGCCAAGUGGAUUAGACAACAUUCUAGUUAUUUAAGAAAAAAAUAAAAUUAGAUUCUUACCUCAUACUGCAUACCAAAAUAAUUUCCAGAUGGAGUCAGGAUUUAACCAUGCACUAGAAAAAAAUAGAUAUAACAAAAUUUGGGGUUAAAGAAAGUCCUUCUAAGCAUGAUACAAAAGAACCAAGGACAUUGCUAAACAAAAAGUUGAUGGAUUUUACUCUACAAAACUAAAAGUUCUAGGAGUUCCCUCCCACUGUAGCACAAUAGGAUCGGUGGUGUCACUGGAGCGCCUGGAUGCAGAUUCAAUCCCUGGCCUGGCACCGUGUGUUAAGAAUCUGGCUUUGCUUCAGCUAGGGCAUAAGGUCACAGCUGCAGCUCAGAUCUGAUCCCUGGCCCCAGAACUCCAUAUGCUGCCAGGGAUGGCCAAAAAAGUUAAAAAAAAAGAAAAAAAAAAAAAGAAGAAUAUGGCGAACUAAAGCAAAUAAAAGGUUUAAUAUAAAAAAAAACUUCUGGAGUUCCCAUUGUGGCACAACGGAAUGAAUGGAACCGUGAGGUUAUGGGUUCGACCCCUGGCCUCAGUGGGUGAAGGAUCUGGCAUGGCUGUGGCUGUGGUGUAGGCAGGCAGCUGCAGCUCUGAUUCAACCCCUAGUCUAGGAACCUCCCUAUGCUGCGGGUGCACCCCUAAAAAGCAAAACAAACAAACAAAAUUCUGAUGAGGAAAUAGUUGCGAUAUGCAUAAUGGACAAAGGGUUAAAAUUCUUAUGGCUCUUGAAAUCAAAGAAAAGUAUCACCAUCCUAAUAAACAGACAAAGAAUAUGAACAGGCCAUUAACAAGAGAAAUUUACAUGGCCAAUAUAUCUACGAAAAAAAGAAAAAGUGUGCAAUAUCACAAGCAGUCAAAGAAACGUGAAUUAAAACAAAGAGAAAUAUUAAAAAAAAAAACUCUUCAGAACAGCAAGGAUAUAAAAUAAUGAUGAUUUGAUAUUCUGAUAUGGAGAAAUACUUGUUAUUUCAUGUCUCUGCUGACUGACGGUCAGUGUAAACUGAUAAAACAUAUCUGGGGGACGGUGCAGCAACAUGCAGCAAAAAUAUUGAAAUUAUCCUAUCUUCUGAUUCAGUAAUGUAAUAGUCCAGGAAUUCAGUCAUUAAAGAUGAUCAUGGGGGAGUUCCCUUAUGGUACAGCAGGUUAAGGAUUUGGCAUUGUUCCUUGGGUCACUGCUGUGGCAUGGGUUCGAUCCCUGCCUGGGAACUUCCACAUGCCUUGGGUGUGGCCAAAGGAAAAAAAAAAAAAAAGAUUAUGGAAUCCUGUAUUUAUUGAGGAAAAGAUGUUACCAUACUGUUAAAAUUUUCAAAACCAUCUCAUAAAAUAUGCAUAUACCAGGAUCCCAUUUUUAUAUAAAGAAAUCAUGUGGAGUUCCUCUCGUGGCUCUGCAGUAACGAACCCAACUACUACCCAUGAGGAUGCGGGUUCAAUCCCAGGUCCUGCUCAGUAGGUCAGGGAUCUGGCAUUGCUGUGAGUUGUGGUGUAGGUCGAAGACGAGGCUCAGAUACUGUGUUCUGUGGCUGUGGCGUAGGUCAGCAACUGCAGCUCUGAUUUGAUCCGUAUGGGACCUUCCAUAUGCCAUGUGUACAGCCCUAAAAAGACUGAAAGAAAGAAAGAAAGAAAAAGAAAGAAAUUAUGUAACAGUUACAAUGUAUACAUAUGUAUAGGAAAAAAGUCUGGAAAUUGGUGCAUCAAAAUAUUUACAGUAGUUAUUUCUAAACAGUAGGAUUAUAGUUGAUUUUUUCUUUUUUCUUAUAUCUAAUAUCUAAUUUUUCUGCAAUUAAUAUGUAUAACUUGUAUAAAUUUUAAAGGCUCUUCUAAAGGGACGAAUGAAUCACCAAAAAUAACCAAUAGAUUUGACUAUAUAAACAGUAACAUUCCUUUUUCUUUCUUUUUUUGGCCAUGCCCAUAGCAUGGGGAGGGCCAGGGACUGAACCCACACCACAGCAGUGACCUGGGCCACUGCAGUGACAACACCGGAUUCUUAACCCACUGCACCACAAAGGAACUUAUAACAUUUCUUAUUUAAGAUAUCAAAAAUUAAUAGGUCAGGAGUUCCCUGGUGGCUCAGCAGGAUAAGGAUCUGGCCUUGUCACUGCUAUGGCUCAGGUUUGAUACCUGGUCUGGGAACUUCUGCCCGCCACGGGCGCAGUCAAAAAUUUAAAAAAAAAUUAACAGAUCAGGAAUUCCCAUCGUGGCUCAGCGGUUAAGGUACCCGACUAGCAUCCAUGAGGAUGAGGGUUCGAUCCCUGGCCUCGCUCAGUGGGUUAAGGAUCCAGCAUUGGCGUGAGCUGUGUGGUGUAGGUUGCGUAUGUGGCUCAGAUCCAGUGUUACUGUGGCUUGUGGCAUAGGCAGGUGACUUCAGCUCCAAUUCAAACCAUAGCCUGGGAACCUCCAUAUGCUGUGGGUGCGGUCCUAAAAUGACGAAAAGACAAAAAAAAAAAAAAAAACAUGUUAUGCAGCUAUGAGAUUAUGUAUCUACAAAGAGCUUUAAUAUUUGAACAAUUUUCACUGAGUAAAAGCUGAACACAAAACUGUACACAGGAUACAUGAAAUGCGGAAAUGCCCUGGUCACGGUUUUGUGUGAAAGACACAGGAUCCAAAUUAGUGCAGGUCCUCUGGUGGCACCUGUGUCAAAAUGGUAUCCAAGAAACAGCCCGGGGCAGUUCCCAUUGUGGCUCAGUGGUAAUGAACCCGACUAGCAUCCAUGAGGAUGUGUGUUUGAGCCCUGGCCCACUCAGUGGGUUAAGGAUCCAGCAUUGCCGUGAGCUGUGGUGUAGGCCAGCAGCUGCAGCUCUGAUUUGACCUCUAGCCUGGGAAGUUCCACAUGCCAUGGGUGCAGCCCUAAAAAGACAAAAAAAAAAAAAGGGCCUGAGAGUUCCCUUGUGGUGAAAUGGGUUAAGGAUCCCAUGGUAUAGGUUUGAUCCUUGGCUAGGGAACUUUCACAUGAUGUGGUGUGGCAAAAAAAAAAAAAAAAAAAAAAAAAAA